rnacentral:rRNA from 1 species
GAUGAACGCUAGCGGCAGGCUUAAUACAUGCAAGUCGAGGGGCAGCAGGUCUGUAGCAAUACAGAUGCUGGCGACCGGCAAACGGGUGCGGAACACGUACUGAACCUUCCUUUAAGUGGGGAAUAGCCCAGGGAAACUUGGAUUAAUACCCCGUAACAUAAUGAAGUGGCAUCACUUUAUUAUUAUAGCUCCGGCGCUUGAAGAUGGCAGUGCGGCUGAUUAGGUAGUUGGCGGGGUAACGGCCAACCAAGCCCACGAUCAGUAACUGGUGUGAGAGCACGACCAGUAACACGGGAAGUGAGACAGCGGCCAGACUCCUACGGGAGGAAGCAGUAAGGAAUAUUGGGCAAUGGACGCAAGUCUGAGCCAGCCAUGCCGCGUGGAGGAUGAAGGUCCUCUGGAUUGUAAACUUCUUUUAUAUGGGACGAAAAAGGGUCUUUCUAGAUCAACUGGCGGUACCAUAUGAAUAAGCACCGGCUAACUCCGUGCCAGCCGCCGCAGUAAAAC